rnacentral:rRNA from 1 species
GCCGGAGGGGGCAAUCGUUAUCCGGAAUCACUGGGCGUAAAGGGCGCGGAGGCGGCCUGUGGAGUCGACUGUGAAAGCCCGCGGCUUAACCGGGGGAGGGCUUCAGAGACUGGCAGGCUUGAGUAGCGCAGAGGGUGGUGGAAUUCCCGGUGUAGUGGUGAAAUGCGUAGAGAUCGGGAGGAACGCCAGUGGGGAAGGCGGCCACCUGGGCGCUUCCUGACGCUGCGGCGCGACCGCGUGGGGAGCAAACCGG